CUCUUUGCAGAUGUCGCACCAUCAAGAUUCACAAACAUGCAAAUGAAAGCAAUGAUCUGAGAAUCUUGAUGAUGCUGCAUCAGCAAUAAG